ACUAAGCGUACACGGUGGAUGCCCUGGCAGUCAGAGGCGAUGAAGGACGUGCUAAUCUGCGAAAAGCGUCGGUAAGGUGAUAUGAACCGUUAUAACCGGCGAUGUCCGAAUGGGGAAACCCAGUGCAAUUCGUUGCACUAUCGUUAACUGAAUACAUAGGUUAACGAGGCGAACCGGGGGAACUGAAACAUCUAAGUACCCCGAGGAAAAGAAAUCAACCGAGAUUCCCCCAGUAGCGGCGAGCGAACGGGGAGCAGCCCAGAGUCUGAAUCAGCUUGUGUGUUAGUGGAACGGUCUGGAAAGUCCGACGGUACAGGGUGAUAGUCCCGUACACCAAAAUGCACAGGCUGUGAACUCGAAGAGUAGGGCGGGACACGUGGUAUCCUGUCUGAAUAUGGGGGGACCAUCCUCCAAGGCUAAAUACUCCUGACUGACCGAUAGUGAACCAGUACCGUGAGGGAAAGGCGAAAAGAACCCCGGCGAGGGGAGUGAAAAAGAACCUGAAACCGUGUACGUACAAGCAGUGGGAGCACCUUCGGGUGUGACUGCGUACCUUUUGUAUAAUGGGUCAGCGACUUAUAUUCUGUAGCAAGGUUAACCGUAUAGGGGAGCCGCAGGGAAACCGAGUCUUAACUGGGCGUUAAGUUGCAGGGUAUAGACCCGAAACCCGGUGAUCUAGCCAUGGGCAGGUUGAAGGUUGGGUAACACUAACUGGAGGACCGAACCGACUAAUGUUGAAAAAUUAGCGGAUGACUUGUGGCUGGGGGUGAAAGGCCAAUCAAACCGGGAGAUAGCUGGUUCUCCCCGAAAGCUAUUUAGGUAGCGCCUCGUGAAUUCAUCUUCGGGGGUAGAGCACUGUUUCGGCUAGGGGGUCAUCCCGACUUACCAACCCGAUGCAAACUACGAAUACCGAAGAAUGUUAUCACGGGAGACACACGGCGGGUGCUAACGUCCGUCGUGAAGAGGGAAACAACCCAGACCGCCAGCUAAGGUCCCAAAGUCAUGGUUAAGUGGGAAACGAUGUGGGAAGGCACAGACAGCCAGGAUGUUGGCUUAGAAGCAGCCAUCAUUUAAAGAAAGCGUAAUAGCUCACUGGUCGAGUCGGCCUGCGCGGAAGAUGUAACGGGGCUAAACCAUGCACCGAAGCUGCGGCAGCGACACUAUGUGUUGUUGGGUAGGGGAGCGUUCUGUAAGCCUGCGAAGGUGUGCUGUGAGGCAUGCUGGAGGUAUCAGAAGUGCGAAUGCUGACAUAAGUAACGAUAAAGCGGGUGAAAAGCCCGCUCGCCGGAAGACCAAGGGUUCCUGUCCAACGUUAAUCGGGGCAGGGUGAGUCGACCCCUAAGGCGAGGCCGAAAGGCGUAGUCGAUGGGAAACAGGUUAAUAUUCCUGUACUUGGUGUUACUGCGAAGGGGGGACGGAGAAGGCUAUGUUAGCCGGGCGACGGUUGUCCCGGUUUAAGCAUGUAGGCUGGUUGUCCAGGCAAAUCCGGAUAAUCAAGGCUGAGGUGUGAUGACGAGGCACUACGGUGCUGAAGUAACAAAUGCCCUGCUUCCAGGAAAAGCCUCUAAGCAUCAGGUAACAUCAAAUCGUACCCCAAACCGACACAGGUGGUCAGGUAGAGAAUACCAAGGCGCUUGAGAGAACUCGGGUGAAGGAACUAGGCAAAAUGGUGCCGUAACUUCGGGAGAAGGCACGCUGGUGUGUAGGUGAAGCCCCUGCGGGUGGAGCUGAGACCAGUCGAAGAUACCAGCUGGCUGCAACUGUUUAUUAAAAACACAGCACUGUGCAAACACGAAAGUGGACGUAUACGGUGUGACGCCUGCCCGGUGCCGGAAGGUUAAUUGAUGGGGUUAUCCGUAAGGAGAAGCUCUUGAUCGAAGCCCCGGUAAACGGCGGCCGUAACUAUAACGGUCCUAAGGUAGCGAAAUUCCUUGUCGGGUAAGUUCCGACCUGCACGAAUGGCGUAAUGAUGGCCAGGCUGUCUCCACCCGAGACUCAGUGAAAUUGAACUCGCUGUGAAGAUGCAGUGUACCCGCGGCAAGACGGAAAGACCCCGUGAACCUUUACUAUAGCUUGACACUGAACAUUGAGCCUUGAUGUGUAGGAUAGGUGGGAGGCUUUGAAGCGUGGACGCCAGUCUGCGUGGAGCCAACCUUGAAAUACCACCCUUUAAUGUUUGAUGUUCUAACGUUGGCCCCUUACCGGGGUUGCGGACAGUGUCUGGUGGGUAGUUUGACUGGGGCGGUCUCCUCCCAAAGCGUAACGGAGGAGCACGAAGGUUAGCUAAUCCUGGUCGGACAUCAGGAGGUUAGUGCAAUGGCAUAAGCUAGCUUGACUGCGAGCGUGACGGCGCGAGCAGGUGCGAAAGCAGGUCAUAGUGAUCCGGUGGUUCUGAAUGGAAGGGCCAUCGCUCAACGGAUAAAAGGUACUCCGGGGAUAACAGGCUGAUACCGCCCAAGAGUUCAUAUCGACGGCGGUGUUUGGCACCUCGAUGUCGGCUCAUCACAUCCUGGGGCUGAAGUAGGUCCCAAGGGUAUGGCUGUUCGCCAUUUAAAGUGGUACGCGAGCUGGGUUUAGAACGUCGUGAGACAGUUCGGUCCCUAUCUGCCGUGGGCGCUGGAGAAUUGAGGGGGGCUGCUCCUAGUACGAGAGGACCGGAGUGGACGCAUCACUGGUGUUCGGGUUGUCAUGCCAAUGGCACUGCCCGGUAGCUAAAUGCGGAAGAGAUAAGUGCUGAAAGCAUCUAAGCACGAAACUUGCCCCGAGAUGAGUUCUCCCUGAGACUUUAAGUCUCCUGAAGGAACGUUGAAGACGACGACGUUGAUAGGCCGGGUGUGUAAGCGCAGCGAUGCGUUGAGCUAACCGGUACUAAUGAACCGUGAGGCUUAACC
rnacentral:rRNA from 1 species